rnacentral:rRNA from 1 species
UACGGAGGGGGCUAGCGUUGUUCGGAAUUACUGGGCGUAAAGCGCACGUAGGCGGCUUGGUAAGUUAGAGGUGAAAGCCUGGAGCUCAACUCCAGAAUUGCCUUUAAGACUGCCGAGCUAGCAGGUGAGAGAGGUGAGUGGAAUUCCGAGUGUAGAGGUGGAAUUCGUAGAUAUUCGGAAGAACACCAGUGGCGAAGGCGGCUCACUGGCCUGGUAUUGACGCUGAGGUGCGAAAGCGUGGGGAGCAAACAGG